GCACAAGCGGUGGAUGAUGUGGUUUAACUCGAUGCAACGCGAAAACCUUACCACCUUUGACAUGGCAGGAAGUUACCAGAGAUGGUUUCGUGCUCGAAAGAGAACCUGCACACAGGUGCUGCAUGGCUGUCGUCAGCUCGUGUCGUGAGAUGUUGGGUUAAGUCCCGCAGCGAGCGCAACCCUUGCCAUCAGUUGCUACGAAAGGGCACUCUGAUGGGACUGCCGGUGACAAACCGGAGGAAGGUGGGGAUGACGUCAAGUCCUCAUGGCCCUUAUAGGUGGGGCUACACACGUCAUACAAUGGCCGGUACAAAGGGCAGCCAACCCGCGAGGGGGAGCCAAUCCCAUAAAGCCGGUCGUAGUCCGGAUCGCAGUCUGCAACUCGACUGCGUGAAGUCGGAAUCGCUAGUAAUCGUGGAUCAGCAUGUCACGGUGAAUACGUUCCCGGGUCUU
rnacentral:rRNA from 1 species